rnacentral:lncRNA from 1 species
UGAUCUCAAUGUGGUCACUCAUUAUUGACCACAUAAUUCAUUAAUAAUUGUUUUAUGCCGGGCAUUGGUGGCACACACCUUUAAUCCCAGCACUCGGGAGGAAGAGGCAGGCGGAUCUCUGUGAGUUUGAGGCCAGCCUGGUAUCCAGAGCGAGUGCCAGGACAGGCUCCAAAGCUACACAGAGAAACCAUGUCUCAAAAAAAAAUUAUAACAGGAGGAGUGUUGCUGUACAAGAUAAGAUACAUGACACUGAGUUUGACUCAAAUGAAACAGUUGUCACGGGCGAUCUGCCUCCUCCAUCCAAAUCCAUAUGGUGAAGCCCUAAGCCCUAGGAUCUACGCUGGGAGACAGGCCUUCACCAAGGUGAUCUGUUAAAAUGGCAUCCUCUGAUCCACGCCAGUCUCACAGGUCUCAACAUACAGCCCAGCCCGAGUUAAUCUGGAGUUUGCAGCUCUCCUGCCUUAGCCUUCUGAGAACUGAGAUUAUAGACAAGUGUCCUCACACUGGGCUAGCAAUGCCGAUAUUUCCAGGGGCUCUCGUUGGUGACAAAGAGGUACAGGACCUCAUCAACUUCCUGGUGAUACCCGGCCACUUCCUG